rnacentral:misc_RNA from 1 species
AAGGAGUCUAACGUAUAUGCGAGUAUUUGAGUGGCAAACUCGAGUGCGCAAUGAAAGUGAUAAGGCGUGGGAGCCGCAAGGCGCACCACCGACCGAUCUUGAUAUCUUUUGAUAGAUUUGAGUAAGAGCAUAUCUGUUGGGACCCGAAAGAUGGUGAACUAUGCCUGAAUAGGGUGAAGCCAGAGGAAACUCUGGUGGAAGCUCGUAGCCGUUCUGACGUGCAAAUCGAUGGUCAAAUUUGGGUAUAGGGGCGAAAGACUAAUCGAACCAUCUAGUAGCUGGUUCCCUC